ACACGCUUUACAAUCUCAAAUAUUUAUAAAUAGCAGACCAUCCCCCAUUCCCCCAUAAUGCAAAGUAAGAAUACUCUCUGCCAUUAAAUAUGGAGUACUAGAGGGGCUUUGCAGCUUUGAGGAGGCCUGUUCCAAUAUAACAGUAGUUUUUGAGGGAUUCAGGGAUGAAUAUUUCACUUCUAGUAUAUUCAGAAAGAUCGAUUAUGGCUGGCUAAGGUGUAACUUUACAAUGAAUAAAGAAGAUAUUAGUCUGGUUGUGGCAGUCAGUUGAAUUUUUUUUUUUUGGUCUGAUCUUGCCAAACUGUUGAGCUGUGUUGGCCUAUGCUUUCUAACUAUAGUUGUUUCAUAUAAGUGUGGACUAUCUUUGAGUAAAGCUGCUUCUCCAAGGAGGCUGGUUAUGUUGGCGAGGAUGUGGAAUAUGUAUUAUCCAAAUGAGAGAGCGGAGUUGUGAUUUUGGGAGUUCAAAAUGGUACUCAGUUUUUUAAAAGGUUGCAUUGAAUAGUUUCCGUGGAUAAGCAGAUUUACUUCCUAUUUCCUUGUCAAGCAGACUACAUGGCUGCUAACUUCAAUGUAGAAGCAGUUCGGCAAUGGGUUGUCUACAUAGAUGAAGUUGAUAAAAUAACCAAAAAGGCUGAGAGCCUAAACAUUGGCAGAGAUGCAUUCAUGGAGGGCAUCCAACAGGCGCUGCUGAAGAUGCUUGAAGGAACUGUGAGUAUUGAUUGCAAAUUAUUUCAGCUGUUCGUUCCAAUUGCCUAUUACUCUUGUAAACAUGUUUACAAAUUCUUAUAUUUUGUAGUUCCUGGACUUCAAAUGUGUCCUCUUUCUAAGCAUUUUUCUGAGAUCAGUAAUUUCACCUGCUCAUUUAUCUUUAUUUCUUCUUCCUACUGUAAGUGUACCUGACAAUAGAGCAUGGAAGAAUCCAUGUGGCGAUACUAUUCAGGUAUACUGAAUCUAUUAAAGCCUCUUUUAUCUACUUUUUUUUUUAAAUUUUUUUUUGCAGGCAAACAGUUUUGUUGGAAAAGCACUUACCCCUUGCUUUUUGGAUGGUAAUAUAGUUUAGUGCUUUUGAGAAUCAAUUUGAUUAUGUUGACGGUGAAAAACAAAUCUCUACUGGAAAGAUUGUUUGGCAAAGGAAAAUCAGAUGUCGGACACUUACCUAUUCAACAAACAAGAAACAUGACUUCUUCAGCUAAACUCACAUAUGUUGGGAGGGGGAAGUCAAGUUAAAUAUUGGUCUAUGUGCCUUGCAGCAAUCAUCUACAAAGGAUGUGAAGUUGUAACGAUCUGGAGAUUCCUUUUUCAAUAGCUCAUUACUGUUCACUCUUGAUGCUGCCUGCUCGUUAUACUUUUCCGUACACUAAUCUGCAGAUAGCUAAAGCUAUUUAUUUUCUUUUCUUUUUUGUGUUGGAACUUUUGUUAGUAGAGAAGACAAGUUCAGAAAGAUGACAAGAUUCUUCAACUGGAUUCGGAGUACCUGUUCUAUCUAACAUGAGAGUUGGUGGUCUAACUGAUGCUGUAGUUACAUCAUCACUAUUGGAAUCUGUUAGGAGAUAGCUAAAAGCUAUAAUUUUUAUUAGUGGUGUAGCUUUUGUUGGUAGAGAAGACAAUUUCAGAAAGGUAGAAAGUGAUGAUCUGACUGCGGAUGGACACAUAUUUGUGGUGCGAUUUCCAGUAUUAGUGAGUUUAUCUUGCUGGAUGAGGAUUAGCUUGUUCAGAAAAUGAGCACUGAGAUUAGGUGAAUGAAUGUCUUGACAUACUAUGUCAUGUUCUUCACAAGUAUGGGAAUUUGAUGGAGACUGACCAUGACUCAUUGUUAACUUCAUUAUUGCCCCAACUGAGUUUCAAUCAAGCUAGUGUCGGGAAGAAGAGCAUUUCAUGUAUGAUUUGCUGGGGAGGGCUACAGUUGAAGUUAUUCGCCUUUUGAGCAACAAGAGCUCAAAAUCAGAGAUGAUGCGAACUAACAUUCAGAUUAUUGGGGCCUUAAAGUAGAAGCAUAUCCUAAAUUAUAAUUGAUGCCUGCAUUUUGUCCUUUCAAUUGUCACGUAAUUUGAUAUACUUGUUUGUGUUGUUAACUUUAGACAAAUGCCCCAGGACAAUUUACUUUUCUCAAACAGUUGGUAUAGCAAGGACUCAAUUAGCAGAUUGCAUAUCCAAUAUUCUUCACCCUAGGGAAAGCGUGACAUAGUUGAAAGGGAAAAGAAGCCAGGUCAUCAUUUGGCAUUAUUUUGAUAACUGGAAAAGCAGACAGAGGAAGACAAGGGAAACAAGUCAAAAUGUUGAAAUUUAUUCUUUUGCGUCUCGUGUUCUGGAGAUGUACAUAGGAGGAUAAAAGUGAAGUACGUUUAGUACACAGACUAUGGUUAUUUGGCCUGGUCACCCUGUUGUUUAGUUUUAGAACUGCUUACUUGUAUCAAGUGAAACAAAAGAGGGCUGAAGGACUUUUGUUUGGGUGCUCUCUGCUGCAGUUGAGUAUUUAAUGUGAAAUAAAAAAGACUAAGGUGUCAAACUAACACAUGCAUGCUGACUCCUGACUCUCCCUUUUCCAUUUAAGAUCUGCUGUCGUCUAUUGUUUUUGUCCUCACCUCGGAGAGACAAUUUCAUUGCUAAUUAUAAUAACUGUACAAGUGCAUCUGAAAAUGAUAAGGAGCUUUGUGAAGAUAGUAUGCAGGUGCUUGAGAGCUUUUUGCUAAGGUGUCCCGGGGAUUUUUCUUCCUACUGAGAUGAAAUUUUGCAUCUCAUCCUGGUAUGUGUCAGCUAUGAUCUCCCAACUUCACUGACAAUAUGGAGGAAGAUAUUGAUGAAGAAAUUCUCGAGGAAAAAUGUUCACUUAUGCUCUGGAGCUUGCUAAGACCCAUUAGGAUUAUACAUUGCAGACUUCUUACUAAUCAAAUUAGUUGUAAGUUUUGUUGUAGUGAGAGUGCUGAGGAAUACACGGAUGAUGAAAAUUUCAGUUGGAACUUGGAAGGUUAGAAGAGCUGCUGCCAAAUGCUUAGCUGCAUUGGUAGUUACUCGGCCUGAGAUGCCAAGAGGAGGAAGGCUUGUUCAAAGUUGAUUGAUAGGUUUAAAGGAAGGAAGACGUCUUCUGAACUUCCUAAACGAAUUGGUUUUAUUUGUCUAAAUACUUGCUCAAAAGAUGGCACUGAAUUGUUGUGACAAACAGACAAUAUUACAGAAGGACGGUCACUUUAUAUGACUUUACUCGUCUUAUUUUGUGUUUUCUGUUAUCAUUUUUACUUCAGCCGUUGAAGACAGUCACUUUUGGGAACACUUGUUUGACUAGAAUCUAAAUAUAUGCUAUUUUUAGUAUGAAA